UUAGCGGCGAACGGGUGAGGAACACGUGAAGAAUCUGCCUUCAACUCUGGGAUAACUCCGGGAAACCGGGGCUAAUACCGGAUAUGAGCCUUGAUCGCAUGAUCGGGGCUGGAAAGUUUUUCGGUUGAAGAUGACUUCGCGGCCUAUCAGCUUGUUGGUGAGGUAAUGGCUCACCAAGGCGACGACGGGUAGCCGGCCUGAGAGGGCGACCGGCCACACUGGGACUGAGACACGGCCCAGACUCCUACGGGAGGCAGCAGUGGGGAAUAUUGGGCAAUGGAGGAAACUCUGACCCAGCGACGCCGCGUGAGGGAUGAAGGCCUUCGGGUUGUAAACCUCUUUCAGUAGGGAAGAAGCGAAAGUGACGGUACCUACAGAAGAAGCACCGGCUAACUAUGUGCCAGCAGCCGCGGUAAUACAUAGGGUGCAAGCGUUGUCCGGAAUUAUUGGGCGUAAAGAGCUCGUAGGUGGUUCGAUACGUCGGAUGUGAAAAUCAGGGGCU
rnacentral:rRNA from 1 species